rnacentral:rRNA from 1 species
UCUUGGAAGUAAAAAGAGAAAUCUACCAGAGUACUACGAAUUUAAAGAAUUUAAAACUCAAAGGGCUUGGCGGUGCUUUAGACCUUUUAGGGGAACCUGUCUUAUAAUCGACAAUCCGCGUUAAACCUAACCUUUUUUUGCACACAGUUUGUAUACCGUCGUCGUCAGGUAACUUUUAAAAAUUUAAUAGUUAGCAUAAAAAGCUGAAUAAUUUUAAACGUCAGAUCAMGGUGCAACUAAUGAAAAGGUUAAGAUGGGUUACAAUUAUAUGUUAAUAAAACACGAAUAGUUGAWUGAMAAAUCUUCUUGAAGGAGGACUUGAAAGUAAAGAUAUUUAUAUUUAUGUAUAGAUAUAUAUAUUGAAUAAGGCUCUGAAGCGUGC